AUUGAACGCUGGCGGCAUGCCUUACACAUGCAAGUCGAACGGUAGCGCGGGGUAACCUGGCGACGAGUGGCGAACGGGUGAGUAAUGCAUCGGAACGUGCCCUGGAAUGGGGGAUAACGUAGCGAAAGUUACGCUAAUACCGCAUAUUCUGUGAGCAGGAAAGCAGGGGAUCGCAAGACCUUGCGUUCUGGGAGCGGCCGAUGUCGGAUUAGCUAGUUGGUGGGGUAAAGGCCUACCAAGGCGACGAUCCGUAGCGGGUCUGAGAGGAUGAUCCGCCACACUGGGACUGAGACACGGCCCAGACUCCUACGGGAGGCAGCAGUGGGGAAUUUUGGACAAUGGGCGGAAGCCUGAUCCAGCCAUGCCGCGUGAGUGAAGAAGGCCUUCGGGUU
rnacentral:rRNA from 1 species